UACGGAGGGAGCUAGCGUUGUUCGGAAUUACUGGGCGUAAAGCGCACGUAGGCGGCUUUUUAAGUCAGGGGUGAAAUCCCGGGGCUCAACCCCGGAACUGCCCUUGAAACUGGGAGGCUAGAAUCUUGGAGAGGCGAGUGGAAUUCCGAGUGUAGAGGUGAAAUUCGUAGAUAUUCGGAAGAACACCAGUGGCGAAGGCGACUCGCUGGACAAGUAUUGACGCUGAGGUGCGAAAGCGUGGGGAGCAAACAGG
rnacentral:rRNA from 1 species